GCGAGCGUAGUAUAGUGGCAGUACACGACCUUCCCAAGGUUGGGGCGUGGGUUCGAUUCCCAUCGUUCGCU
rnacentral:tRNA from 2 species